CAUUCACGGAGAGUUUGAUCCUGGCUCAGGACGAACGCUGGCGGCGUGCUUAACACAUGCAAGUCGAACGAUGAAGCCCUUUCGGGGGUGGAUUAGUGGCGAACGGGUGAGUAACACGUGGGCAAUCUGCCCUGCACUUCGGGACAAGCCCUGGAAACGGGGUCUAAUACCGUAUAGGACUGCCGGCCGCAUGGUCUGGUGGUGGAAAGCUUCGGCGGUGCAGGAUGAGCCCGCGGCCUAUCAGCUUGUUGGUGGGGUGAUGGCCUACCAAGGCG
rnacentral:rRNA from 1 species